GACGAACGCUGGCGGCGUGCCUAAUACAUGCAAGUAGAACGCUGAAGGAGGAGCUUGCUUCUCUGGAUGAGUUGCGAACGGGUGAGUAACGCGUAGGUAACCUGCCUGGUAGCGGGGGAUAACUAUUGGAAACGAUAGCUAAUACCGCAUAAGAGUAGAUGUCGCAUGACAUUUGCUUAAAAGGUGCAAUUGCAUCACUACCAGAUGGACCUGCGUUGUAUUAGCUAGUUGGUGAGGUAAUGGCUCACCAAGGCAACGAUACAUAGCCGACCUGAGAGGGUGAUCGGCCACACUGGGACUGAGACACGGCCCAGACUCCUACGGGAGGCAGCAGUAGGGAAUCUUCGGCAAUGGACGGAAGUCUGACCGAGCAACGCCGCGUGAGUGAAGAAGGUUUUCGGAUCGUAAAGCUCUGUUGUAAGAGAAGAACGAGUGUGAGAGUGGAAAGUUCACACUGUGACGGUAUCUUACCAGAAAGGGACGGCUAACUACGUG
rnacentral:rRNA from 1 species